GUUGUGAUUAAUCUACAUGUCAGGACCAUUAAAAAUCCACUCAGGAUUCGCUUUAGUGGGUUUUACGUAUCAAGAGGGGGGCUCGACACUCAACUGGUGGAAGGAGCGGACGCUCGUUUUGACGUGGAAAAGAAAACUUGAUUUUCAGAAAUUCACGCCACACUCUCUGCAUGCACCCUUCUUCUCCAGAUUCUGAAAAUCUCAUUUUCUCCUCCUUCUCUCCAAAUCUCCUUCAUCUUCUCUCUACGAAAUCUCACCCUUUCUCUUCUCCGAUCUCCGUUCAGACACCGUAGAAGCACUUCCGGCGUCAAGAGCUUCAGUUUGAACCGAUCGGUUUCGGGUUCUGAACUGUUUUGGAGAAUUGUUGAGCGUUGAGGGUAGAAGGACUUAUAGUAGGGUGAACCGUAUUUCUGCCUCAGUGAACGUUCGGUCACGCUAGAGGUAAGAGAAGCUUAUCUAAUUUAAUUUGUAUGUUGUUGUAUUGCAUGAACGUUCGUUGAGUUGCUAAAUUAAAAUGAAGCAUGAUUGUUGAGAUGUGUGACUAUAUGAAAUAUGAUGGUUGCUAUGUUCUGAUAUAUGAAGUAUAAGAAAUUUACUAUGAUAUGAAUGUAUGAAAUUAUGAAGAUAUAUGGUGAGAAUUGAAUUGAGAUAAAUGAUUUCUAAGUAUGAAAUUUCCCCUAUGAAAGUGUACGUUCGUCACUGAUGAAAAUAGCGUUCGUCCAACUUCAAUAGAGUUCUCUCCCUACCGUGCUCGGUCAUUGACUGGCAUUCGGUUUUCUUGAUGUGAAUUCAAAUAAGCUAAGUAUUUAUAAGCGUACGGUUUCUUCAUGUGAAUUCCUCUAAGUAUUAUUCUUUCAAGUGUCCAUAUUCAUUGGUUUCGGCCUAGAGUCUUAGCACUUGGCAUAGUCUUUGCGGUGUUCGGUUUGAGCUCUCAAGAGUCAGUUCAUUUAAUUGGCUCACUUUGUAAGUAACGUUCGUUCUAGUCGUUCUUGUGAUAUAUGAUUGUACUCGGUUUCUUUCUCAAUCCGAUAUUAACCCUCUCAGUCUUAAUCUGUUCUGGAACUGGAGACCUCUCUGUCUCGCUCCAAGUGUUCGUUCUCGUUCUGAGUUAGGAUUGAACGUUCGGUAUUUGGUGUCCUUAAUAAUAUUUGUACAAAGGUGAAAUUGAGAUGAUUAAUAAUGAAAGAUGAAGAGAAUAUGAUAUGGAUGAAACGUUUUGGAUUAUGGACGAGCGUUCCGGGGAGGAAUGACUCAUGAAUGUAUAUUGGAAUCGGUAAAGUAUGAAUGUGGGCAUGCUAAGCUGGCGGUUCAUCUUGAUGUUCCGUGAUUACUCGUCCUCACGUAGAGGAGGGUAAGUCAUGUGUGGAAACGGCAGGAGGUCCUAGUCCUUAUGGUUAAUUUGGACAGAUAGGUCCUAGUCAUGCGUGAUUACUUGUCUGUUUUGUACGUUCGGUCGUCCUUCUGUUGCAAUGAUCAUCUAUGUGGAUGUGAGCAGAAGGAGACGAGCUGCUGGAAGAGGCGCUGGAGGAAGAUAACUUAGUCGAGGUAGAAGUUAAGACCGAACAGUAGAACCGUUCGGUCAAUAGUAGUUUGAUAUUAAGGUGAUCGCUCGAUCACCUUUUCCCUUUUGCUUUUGGUAGGACAUUUCGGUAUAGUAUUUUGUAAACCGUUCGGUUGGAAAUUACUUAUGUCGUUUAAUUUUUAAUUUCCUAGUCUUUCUGUAAGGCCGUUCGGCCACAGCCGUACGUUCUCUUUAAUGUAAGACUGAUCUGUAAUAUUAAUUAAUAUAAUUAUUCUAUCA
rnacentral:sRNA from 1 species